UACGGAGGGGGCGAGCGUUGUCCGAAGUUACUGGGCGUAAAGCGCGCGUAGGCGGGUGGGUAAGUCCGCUGUGAAAGCCCGGAGCUCAACUCCGGAGGGUCGGUGGAUACUGCCCAUCUUGAAGGUGCUAGGGGGAGAUGGAAUUACCGGUGUAGCGGUGAAAUGCGUAGAGAUCGGUAGGAACACCAGUGGCGAAGGCGGUCUCCUGGAGCAUACUUGACGCUGAGGCGCGAAAGCUGGGGGGAGCGAACGGG
rnacentral:rRNA from 1 species